CGGGAUGUGGCUCAAGUGGUAGAGUGCUCACCUGGCAUGUGUGAGGCACUGGGUUCGAUCCUCAGCACCACAU
rfam:Ictidomys tridecemlineatus contig089699, whole genome shotgun sequence.